rnacentral:rRNA from 1 species
AGUAGUCACGUAGUUUGAUCCUGGCUCAGAACGAACGCUGGCGGCAUGCCUAACACAUGCAAGUCGAACGCCCUCUUCGGAGGGAGUGGCGCACGGGUGCGUAACGCGUGGGAACCUGCCCUUAGGUUCGGAAUAACUCAGAGAAAUUUGAGCUAAUACCGGAUAAUGUCUUCGGACCAAAGAUUUAUCGCCUUUGGAUGGGCCCGCGUUGGAUUAGCUAGUUGGUGGGGUAAAGGCCUACCAAGGCGACGAUCCAUAGCUGGUCUGAGAGGAUGAUCAGCCACACUGGGACUGAGACACGGCCCAGACUCCUACGGGAGGCAGCAGUGGGGAAUAUUGGGACAAUGGGCGAAAGCCUGAUCCAGCAAUGCCGCGUGAGUGAUGAAGGCCUUAGGGUUGUAAAGCUCUUUACUGGGGAUGAUAAUGACAGUACCCAGAGAAUAAGCUCCGGCUAACUCCGUG